AGCAGCAGCCGCGGGAAUACAGAGGGUGCGAGCGUUAAUCGGAUUUACUGGGCGUAAAGCGUGCGUAGGCGGCUAAUUGAGUCGGAUGUGAAAUCCCCGAGCUUAACUUGGGAAUUGCAUUCGAUACUGGUUAGCUAGAGUGUGGGAGAGGAUGGUAGAAUUCCAGGUGUAGCGGUGAAAUGCGUAGAGAUCUGGAGGAAUACCGAUGGCGAAGGCAGCCAUCUGGCCUAACACUGACGCUGAGGUACGAAAGCAUGGGGAGCAAACAGGAUUAGAUACCCCUGUAGUCCCUGUCUCUUAUAU
rnacentral:rRNA from 1 species